ACAAUCGAAGAGGCAAGAGGCAGAGCACGUUCUGUUGUCAAGUACCUCAAGGCUUGCAGUCUGUUGUUGGACAGCACAGAGGAGGGCGGUGUGAAAAUGCAUGACGUUGUCCGCGAUAUGGCUAUACUACUCGUAUCAUCUGAAGACAAUAAUGCCUUUAUGGUGCAAUCUGGUAGCGCCUUAAAGGUGUGGCCGACAAAGGACAGCUAUGAAGCCUACACAGCCAUCUCACUCAUGUCCAACGAAAUCGAGGAGCUCCCUGAUGGGCUAGUAUGCCCCAAGCUUCAGACAUUGUUAUUACAGAAUAACAAUGAUAUACAAGAGAUCCCAGAUGACUUUUUUGGAAGCUUCCACUCCCUGAGAGUCUUAGACCUCAAUGGUGCUGACAUCCCAUCACUACCCCCUUCGCUUGGACUCCUGAGAAGCCUUAGGACGCUAUGCCUAGACUGCUGCCAGUCAAUAACAGACAUAUCCAUACUGGGGAAAUUGGAGAAACUUGAGAUUCUUAGUCUCAGAGAAUCCUACAUUGAGGAUUUGCCAGAAGAACUGGCCCAGCUGGCCAAUCUGAGGAUGCUGGAUUUCACUAUGAGUAACAACAUCAAAUCAAUUCCUCCUAAAGUGAUAUCAAGCUUGUCCAGGUUAGAAGAGAUGUACAUGCAGGGUAGCUUCGCAGACUGGGGUCUGCUGCUUGAAGGAACAUCAUCAGGAGCCAACGCCGGUUUUGAUGAGCUAACGUGCUUGCAUCGCUUAAAUAUCUUGAAGGUAGACAUCUCUGAUGCUGAGUGCAUGCCUAAAACUGUGAGGUUUGAUCCAAACUGGGUAAACUUUGAUAUAUGCAUAAGCAGGAAGCUGUUCACCCGGUUCAUGAAUGUGCAUCUGUCAAGAGUUACAGCUGCUCGAUCAAGAGCCUUGAUUCUCGAUGUCACCAUCAAUACCUUGCCAGACUGGUUCAACAAAGUGGCCACUGAAAGAACCGAGAAACUAUACUACAUAGAAUGCAGGGGUCUAGACAACAUUCUUAUGGAAUAUGAUCAAGGAAGCUUAAAUGGCCUCAAGAUCCUCCUUGUCCAGAGUUGCCAUCAGAUAGUACACCUCAUGGAUGCAGUAACAUAUGUUCCAAACAGACCUUUGUUCCCUAGCUUGGAAGAGCUGCGUGUUCACAAUCUUGACUACUUGAAAGAGAUCUGCAUUGGGCAACUUCCGCCUGGAUCGUUGGGGAACAUGAAGUUCUUGCAGGUGGAGCAGUGCAAUGAGCUGGUGAAUGGGCUGCUGCCGGCUAAUCUGUUGCGGAGACUAGAGAGUCUGGAAGUCCUUGAUGUGAGUGGGAGCUAUUUGGAAGACAUAUUUAGGACUGAAGGACUCAGGGAAGGAGAAGUUGUGGUGGGAAAGCUGAGAGAACUGAAACUGGAUAAUCUACCUGAACUGAAGAAUAUAUGGAAUGGCCCUACCCAGCUUGCAAUAUUCCACAAUCUGAAGAUUUUGACAGUGAUAAAGUGCAAGAAACUGAGGAAUCUAUUCACAUACAGUGUGGCUCAAAGUCUCAGAUAUCUGGAGGAGCUGUGGAUUGAGUAUUGCAAUGGUUUGGAGGGAGUUAUUGGGAUGCAUGAGGGUGGAGAUGUAGUGGAGAGGAUCAUUUUCCAGAACUUGAAGAACUUGUCCUUGCAAAAUCUUCCAGUGCUCAGAAGCUUUUAUGAAGGAGAUGCAAGAAUUGAAUGCCCAUCCUUGGAACAACUGCAUGUGCAGGGCUGCCCAACAUUUAGGAAUUACUCACCUUAUUUCCACAGUACAAACCAAUUCCAAGUAAACAAUGAACAACACUUGCUCCUCCUGCGAAAAAGGUAUGGUUUAGUAAUAAUGUUAGAUUUUUUUUUCCCCUAAAUUUUCUAACUUUUUUUUUCUUCUUAUUUCCUACUUUUUUUUUUUGUCAUAAGGUUGUGGGAGGAGAGAACUUUCCUAGAAGAAAAUUUAUGAAUCGGCGAGCAAAAGGGCAAAGGAGGUUGGAACCAUUAUGUUCAUCAAGCUGAUUUGGGUCCAGUAAAUACAUAUACAUAUAUACAUACAUAUAUAGGUGUGUGUAUAUAUUACAUACAUGCAUACAUACGUAUGUGUAUAUAUAUAUAUGUUUGUGUGUGUGUAUUAGCAAAUUUUCAAUUGGAUAUUUGCCAAUUAAGAAGUUGACGAUUGAAACUUGAGAUGCUUUAAUCCUUGAAGUGUUCUAUUCAUCACCCUUUUGGUUUUGAUUGCCAUCUCUAGUUACGCUUAUAGUGAACCUUCCCUUGAAAUAUGCUAUUAGACUCCAUAAUUUGCCUAAUUUUUCCAAAAGAUUUUAUGCAAAAAAAAAAAAAAAAAAAAAAAACCACGAGCUUUUAAGGUCCACAAGAACUCCAAAAAUUCAAAUAGAAAUAAACCAUAAGUCAAGCUCAAACCCAAAAGUUCUUUCAAGAAAUUAAACACAACUACAGAAGUAUACUAUUUUGCUCCCAUAAAUUCACUUAUAUAUCACAAAUAAAAGAUGCAGAUAUGUACAUGGAUCUAAAUACAAAUUUCAUUUCCAUCUUACAAAAUACACAAUCUCUUGAAAAAUCUCCAAAAUACAACCAUUCAAUAAAUUAAGAUCCCAACAUAGUAAAAAAGGGAACCUUCAUCCUUCCAAUUGGAACAUGUAUAUAUAUAUAUUUGGAUGCUAGCUCCCUUUUCUAUCAUUGGUUUUUUAACAUGAGCAACUUGCUAUCUUUCAGAAGGAUUCUUUCUACCUUGAGAAGUAUAUGGCUUUUACACAUAUGAAACAUAGCACAAUUAGGUAAUACACAUUCAUGACAUGAAUUGUAACAUAAUUUAAACAUCACAUAAUUAGAAGGGUGCAUUGUGGUUCUAAGGUUUUCAACUAAAGAUACUAGUCCAUGUCUAAUACACUCCUUAUUGAUCCAAACUUGAAAUCUCCUCUCUUCUCAAUUUGCCCUCUUUAGGAUCUUUUCAUCUCUCAUUUUUAUUUUAUUUCCGAUUCACACUGUCUUAUCAUUUUUUCAGUUUCACACAAUAUGAAUGCACUUAUAUGUACAAUGAUUUUUUUUGUCCUAAAAUAAUCUCAUAUCGAACACAUAAUAGACAUAUAUUCAUCUCAUGUAGCAAGUGAAUCAACAUAUUAAACAACUAUGAGUCAAUAAUCAACAUCUAGAGAGAAUAUUUUCAACAAUCAACAAUAUUAUAACUAUUAGAAAUACAUACAAAGAGAAGUAGCAACACAAGUCUAAAAUUUUUGAAAUAAAAGUUAAACAACUUCUCGAAUUUGGUUAAAGCAUGAUAAGGCAUGAUCCUUAAAGUAGUUCCAUGCUCCUAUGAGAUUGUGUCUUGGCACAAUAGGAUAACAAUGGACAUUCUACCUCCAGGAUGCAACAACCAAUGUUACUUGUAGAGGUACACUACUUUGUAGAGUAGAGAUGAUAGCUUUGGAUGCUUUACUCUUCCAAGGACUUGAGAAGAGUGGUAGAAGGAAAGAGAAAAACCACUUAAGGAUAGAGUAACAAAAAGAGCUCACAAGGCUUCAAAGGAGAGAAGCUUUGAGAUGGGAUGAAGAAAUACCUAGACUACAACUCUAUUUAUAAGCUCUCAAGAUUGGCUCAAAUAGGUAGAAUAUAUGAUUGGAGGCAUGAUUGAUCCAACUAAUUAGCUAAUUGAUUUCAACCAAUUGCUAAUUAAUUAAGCCAAUCGAGGAGGAAAUUGUUUUUUGUUGAGUCCAUUAAGACAUUUGUUGACCAAUAAAAAUGAAUUAAAUGAUUUCAAUCAAUGGCUAAUUAAGCCUAUUAAACAAUUGUUAAUCAAUCAAAAGUUUUACACAUACACUUUCCAACCAUUCCUCACAUUGUGCAUGAGUGGAGUAAUAAUAGAGGAUGACUGGAGGAAGCAUAUACUAGAAUCUAAUGAAUAAGAACAGAUGCCCUUGGGUUAUGAGCCAACCUUAGAAUAAGUAGGUUGUGAGCCAUAAAAAUAUGGUGAAAGUUAAAUCUGCAAUGAACCAGAAUUUCUUUAUGUGAGACAAGGAACCUAUUAUCCACAUUGGUUUCUCAAGUUAGAGUUGUCCAUAAUGUGUUGAUGUGAAUAGGCCAUAGAUCUUACUUGAAUAUUUAUGAGAGCUCUAUAGACCUUGCCUAAGUUCUCAUAGGAAAUGACCCAUUUCUAUACUCAUAUAGGUGAAUCUAUCAAGCAUAUCCUGCAAUUAUAAACACCACUAAUAAGUGAAAUGGUAUUCACUAAGAUAUGUACUCAUCUUCAAUCAUUGUAGAAUACACUCCACCUACACCUUAGUGAUGGAUUCUCAUAUAUAAGUAGUUGAUAGACUAUUUCAUAGUCAAUAAGUCACUUGCUAUUACUUACACGAACCUGCUUCCUUUGAUCUCUAUUAAUGUAAGUUGGGUUACUUAUGAGGACUCAAAUUCAACACUUCAAUGGGCUUUAUAGAACCUAUUUUAGUGUAUUUGGGAUACUUUUAUUGUUAGUGUCUAAGCAAGUUGCAUUUGAUUAUUUUUGUGUUUGUUUUGUAUGUUUUAGGUGCAAACUAGAUAUUAAAAUCAAUGGAACAAAGUAUUUUGAGCUUUAAUGGAGAUUGUGGGAGAGGUUUCAAGACUUGUGGUUGUUAAAGAAAGCAAGUUUAGAAAGAAGAAAUAGUUAAACAAGACCUUGUUCAAGCUUGCAUAAAUAAAUUGGCAAGGAAAAGGCUUGAACAACCUCGAGCAAGAAGAGUUUGACAAGGCGAAGCUCGAGUAAAGAAGGAAUCCUGCCUAGAAGAGGCUUAAGCAAGUAUGAGCAAAGUGAGCUACACUUAAGCCAACCAUGACCUUGCUUAUGUGGCCUCACAUAAUAGGCCAUAACAAGCAUGAACACCUCUAAGCAAGUUUGCCAGACCAGAUCUGUAGAACAAUUCAAGUAGCCAUGUAGCCUCACACAAAAAGCUUGAGCAAACAUGACCACCUUUAAGCAAGUUUGCUUGAGCAGAUUUAGAACAAUUCAGGUAGCCAUGUAGCCUCACACAAAAGGCCUGAUCGAAAAUGAACACGUUUAAGUAAACAUAUCUUAGCACACUUGGGUAAUUUCAAGUAACACUCAAACAUCCACAACUUUGUUUAGACAACUUUUAGCAAACAUUACCUAGUUUGAACAACCUUUAAGGGUACUUACUUCAAGGCAUAUGGCCACCUCUAGAGUUGACAUGUGGUAGCAAAGCGGUAAGAUACACCAACCCUAGGCUGCCAUGUGAUAACUAAAGUGGCAAAAAAAAAAAAAAAUCAUUAUUUUAGCUUUUCUAAGAAUGUAUCGACUUAUUUGGUUGAGUAUAAAAGGAAAAUUCUCAGAUUUCAAUAGUAGGAUUCCACUAUUACAGUAAGAGUAAAAGUAGGUUAGUGAAGCUAUUUCAUCGUAGGAGUAGUAGGUCAGAAAGGCUACCAAAGCUUAUGAUUUUGACUUUUAUCUUCAUUCUAUAAUUAAUAUUUUGAGUUUAUUUUUGUUUCAGAAUCUAAGCAUAGUUAACAUUUCUAGUUGAAUCUUCUAGUACAACCAUUAUUUCAAUUUGUAGUUUAUUAAUGAAAUGUUAAUUUUUUAUUUCUAGUUUUUAAAUUUGUAGUUUCAAUUUUUUAAUUUUUGAAUUUCUUCUAUCUUGAAAUUUCAAUUUUGUUCCAACUUAAUUUCUUGCUUUGCUUGUUUUAUUUAUUUAUUUUUUGUUUUCUUUUGUUUUGUGUGUAUGUGUGUGUGUGUUUUUUUUUCUAUGUUAUUGUUUUUCAAUUUCAAUAUCAAUAGUUGGAUUUCUUAAGACACUGAGAGAGUGAGGGAAGAUGAGGUAAAUCAUACAGUAUUUUAGUCCUUUAAUGUCCUAAACUGAUUGUGUUGAGGUUAUGGGAAUUCUAGAAAAGGCAUGCGUUUGCUGACUAGUUGUGAGGGCUAAAAGACAAGCAACCUUGGGAGUGGAUUUCAAUUGUGUUGAUAUGGGUUCACUUGAGCUAAACGCUAUCAUUUCAUUUUGGAUUCAUUAUAUGAACCUAAUGCCAAAAACACUGGUUUAGUAAUAUAUUUCCCCUCAACCUUAGGUCAAAAGCAUCUAGUUUAGGAGAAUGAUUUAAGCUAAGGGUGAUUUCCUUUAUGGAUCUUUGCCUUUGGUGUUUGAUUGUUUUCAUAUGUUGAUUUUGGAAAAUUUUAUUAUUUAUUUUUCAAUUUCCCUUUAUCUUUGUUAAGUUUCCUAAGUUGUCUCCACUUGCAAAGCCAUUCACUUUGAAUAACCCAUUUUUUAUAUCUCUCUGAUUGAAAUCAUUGGAUCCUUGUGGGUUGGACCCCAUACUCAUUGGGUCGGGUACUAUUUUGAAGGUUCUUAAGCUCAGUAACACCCACAAAAAUAAAAAUUUUAGUGGGUUUUAAAAGCUCUAAGGUUGUAAUCUUCUUUAAUAAUAGUGGAAGUUUUGUUUUUGUCUUCACCCAUGGAUGUAAACUUUAAGCUGAAAUAUGUAAAUCGUCAUGUGUUUUUUAUUUUUGUAUUCUUAUUUCUCUUUCUUUGUUAUUAUUCUUGGUCAUGGUUUUUCACAACAAACUGGUAUCAAAAUACAUGUUAUUAAACUUGAAAUGACAAUAGAGUUUGAGCUUGAGAAGUUAUUUAAAUUUAUGGUACGUUAAGAUGCGUGCCUUAUUGGUUUAAUUAUGAUUGUCCAAAACAUUGAAGGGUAGAGAGACCCUAUUAACAAUGAUGUAUGAUGAAGAGAAAGAUGAAUUUAUGAAGAAAACAUAUAAUGCUAUCCUGUUGUAGAAGAGGAUAGAAUUGCCAAGUUAUGGUUGAAGUUAAAAAGUCUACAUAUGACGAAAUCUUUUUCAAAUCGCUUGUAUUUGAAGAAGUUAUCCACUCUUUAAAUGAAAGAAGAUACAUCUAUUAAAGACCACAUUGAUAAAUUUAAUAAAACUAUCACGAAUUUGAUGUUAAAAUUAAUGAUGAAGAUCAAACCAUAAUUUUAAUGUAUUUCUUAUUGAAUUCUUAUAAGCACUUUAUGAAUACUAUGAUAUAUGGUAGAGAUACUCUCUUUAUAGAGGAUGUUAGAUUAACCUUGAAUUCAAAGGAGUUGAAGAAGAGGGUUUUUUGAUAGUAGAAAAGAAAACUCGGGUGAAGGUUUGGUGAUUAGAGGGAGAAAAAGAAACGUUAUUAGAAAUAUUUCCAUAAACAUUUUAGAUAGUGAAGGGAAAAGGUUAUGACAUGAAGAUGAGUUUGUAAAGAUUACACGAAAUGGAUAAAUAUGAGAGAAAGAAUGAGAGACAUAUGAUAAAACAAAGGGAUGUAUAGUUGCGGAUGUAAAUACAAAGAGUGGGAAAAUAUGUAAUGUUUCGAGAAUCUGAUAGCUGCAUAUGAUUUUUGUCAUAUGUAAUAUUCUCUAUGGUAUAACAAAAAGAUUCAUUCUCAUCCGUAGAUAUAUGUAUGGUUAGUCAAACAACGUUAAAACCUCAUGUACUUUUGUAUGAAUUAUUUUAUCUUUAUAUUUCUAAACUAAUAUUAUUUGCAUUAAAACCUCUAGGGGCAACAAUUUAGUAUUAAAACAAGUUUUUUAGUUGUAAUUUUUGUACAAAAAUUGUAUCAGCUCAAUUUUAGCUCAAACUGAAAGAAUCAAAAUAAACUAAGAAGAAUUAAUGUUGAGUCAUAUUGGAGUUUAGGUGAAUAAACAAAUUAGUUGAAUUUACUUAAAUUUGACCAGCUCAUUCGGUUCUUGGUGGAUUGAUUAAAAACCAACCAAAAUCGUAGAGUGUCAACUUUUAUUAAUCAUAGAGUUAUUAGAGACUACCAUGCUUUGUAUGCGUGGAAGGAAUCAAUAUUUUUUGCUUUGACUGGACAUCAAAUAAAACAUAAAACAUAAAAACUAACAUAGGGCCUAUUUGGUAACUAUUUUUGAAAAUAGUUUUGAAAAAUAGUUUUUGAAAAAAGUUUUGAAAAUUGUUUUAUGAUAUUUUGUAGAACAAAAAAUUGUUUAGAAAUUUAAAAUAUUUUUAACUUGUUUUAAAUUUUUUAAAAUAAUUUUUAUUUGUAGUGCUUUCAUCCUUAAUGUUUGUACAAUUAUUUUUUAAAACAAUUAUCAUAAAAUAAGUGAAAAUAACUAAAAUAUGUUAUCUGAAAAUACCAAAUUUUCUAUUUUAAAAGACACAACAUAGAGAACAGUUUUUGGUUACUAUAACAUGUUUUCUAGGUUUUUUGUUUUGAAGAAUAAAAAACUGUUACCAAACAAGGUCAUAAUAUCUUGUUUGAUUUAUCAAGAAAAGCUUAGACAAAAAUCAAAUCAAAUAAAAGUAAUUUAAAAAUUCAUAUAUUUUUAAAUUAUACAUUACCUAAAUAAAAAAAAAAAAGAGAAAAAAAUUGGAAAAAUAUAGAAUAAAGAUUUAUUGGGUUUAAACUGACAUAUCAGUUUCCCUCAUCUUUCUUAAAUUUUCUAAUAUCCAAAUGGAAUACAAAUGAAAUCCAUUGAUGAGAGAAUGACAUGACUCUAGGCAACUAAAAGAAUGCUACUUAGACUGUGUUUAAAACCUUUUAGAAUUACUUUUAUGGACAAUUUGUGGAUACUGAAAAGUUGUAAGUAUUUUUGGAAGGAAAUAACUUCAAAGCAGUUUUUUUAUUUUUAUUUUUUUACGAAAGUUAAACGUUAAAAAUCUAAAGAAUGAUUUAAAAUAACUUUUGAACUAAUGUUUGGCAAGUGAUUUUUCCUUUUUAUUUUAUUUUAUUUAUUUUGGGAUUCCAUUACAUAAUGGAAGUGCUUUGAAAACAUUUUUUAUUGCAAGUGUUAGGAGCUAAAUGUACUGUCACAAGAAUCACUCCCAAGUCCAAUAGACCUCAUUGAUCUAAUGUAUGAUUUUUCAGAAUGGAGAAAUGAUGAAUACCUUGGAUCAGAAUUCCAUUUCUGCGAAUUUGAAAGGCAACCCUAAUUAGUAGCCAACAAAGGCUGAGCCAAUCCAUUGAAACAAUCAGCAGUAGUCUCUUGCUCAUCAGCUUCUCUCUGCUCUCAGCCAUUGACGGAAUGGAAGCUUGUCCUUAACCUUACUGUCUUCAAUUUAGUUGGGUUGCUAUGCCUCCAAUGGGAAAGCUUCACGGAAAGGUCUUUUCACAUGGCUCUUCUUUUGACCAACCGCCUUUUCAAAACUGCAAAAAAUUUCGCCCAUCUUUACUUCAGUACAUGGUCCAUAUAUGACAAAGAAUAUACAAGGCUCCAUUAUUGGCUACAGAGUGGAGACCCCAAUCAUCGCGUCAAGUUGCUCUCGAGUAAAACAAUGACAGCCCAUUUGUCGCUGGAUUCCAUGUGUGGAGAGUUUGAACCCAUUCCACCCUCCAUGUGAUAGCCACCAACCCUACUAGAAAGUUAUCGUCAAGAGACAGUGAACUGGAGCUGGACGGUGGUGCAAUAGGAUAAAAGGCGGCUUUCUUCAAACUUCAGAUUCUUCAAGGUUAUAAUCUCAUCACCAUAAUCAUUAAUUACCACUUGGCGCUUAAUUUUGAUUUAUUGUUUGUUCUAGUCUUUCUGUAUUUCUCUUAAUUUUGUUUGGUGUCUGGGAUAAUUGUAUUUGUAGAAACAGCUGAGCGCUAAACCUUUGGAGUUGAGAUCAAAAUUCAACCUUAAACUACCCUUUUUGUGGAGGGAAGAAGGUGAGAUAUGGCUUUGGAGAUUGCGAGUUUCGUUAUCCAGGUUGGGGAGAGGCUGUGGUCUUCAGCGACUGGUCCAGUGAGUAAUCUGGUGAACUAUAGGAAAAAUAUAAAGAAUCUCAAUGAUGAAGUUGAGAAGCUAGAGAUUAUCAGAAGCGAUAAUCGACUUUCUGCGAGCGCCGCCCAGAUGAAUGGAGAAGAAAUCAAAGGCGAGGUUCAGAUGUGGCUGAACAAAUCUGACGCUGUCCUAAGAGGGGUUGAGAGAUUGAAUGGUGAAGUCGACAUGAACAGGACAUGCUUCGGUGGGUGCUGUCCUGAUUGGAUAUCGCGUUACAAGUUAAGCAAGCAAGCCAAGAAAGAUGCACAUACUGUUAGGGAGCUCCAAGGGACGGGAAGAUUUGAAAGGGUUUCGCUCCCAGGGCGACGGCAACUGGGAAUCGAGUCGACGCUGUCAUUGGGGGAUUUUCAGGCAUUUGAAUCGACCAAAAGGGCGAUGGAUGAGGUCAUGGUGGCCUUGAAAGAAGAUCGGGUGAAUAUUAUUGGGGUCUAUGGAAUGGGGGGUGUGGGCAAAACAACCAUGGUGAAACAGGUGGGUGCAAAUGCUCACAGAGAUGGGCUGUUUCAGCAUGUUGCAAUGGCUGUGAUAUCCCAGAAUCCGGAUUUGAGGAAAAUUCAAGCCCAAAUUGCAGAUAUGUUGAACUUGAAGCUAGAAGAGGAGAGUGAAGCUGGGAGGGCAGCAAGGUUGAGGGAGAGGAUAAUGAGAGGCAAGAGUGUUCUCAUAAUCUUAGAUGACAUAUGGAGAAGAAUUGACUUAUCUGAGAUAGGAAUUCCCAGUACUGGCAGUGACCUUGAUGCCUGCAAAUCCAAAAUCUUACUGACCACAAGGCUUGAAAAUGUGUGUCAUGUCAUGGAAAGCCAAGCAAAAGUCCCUCUGAAUAUUCUGUCUGAACAGGAUUCUUGGACCUUGUUUGGGAGGAAAGCAGGGAGAAUCGUGGAUUCUCCUGAUUUUCAUAAUGUAGCACAGAAGAUUGUCAAAGAAUGUGGAGGCCUCCCAAUUGCUCUGGUGGUUGUUGCUAGAGCAUUAGGCGAUAAGGACUUGGAUGAAUGGAAAGAAGCUGCAAGACAACUAGAAAUGUCCAAGCCAACAAACCUUGAUGAUGAUGGGGGUGUUUUCAAAUGUAUAAAACUGAGCUAUGACUAUUUGAAAGGCAAUAGCACCAAACCAUGUUUUCUGAUUUGUUGUUUGUUUCCAGAGGACACGGACAUCAGCAUCGAAGACUUGGUGAAGUACGGAUUGGGGCAAGGGCUGUUUCAAGAGGCCAACACAAUCGAAGAGGCAAGAGGCAGAGCACGUUCUGUUGUCAAGUACCUCAAGGCUUGCAGUCUGUUGUUGGACAGCACAGAGGAGGGCGGUGUGAAAAUGCAUGACGUUGUCCGCGAUAUGGCUAUACUACUCGCAUCAUCUGAAGAAGAUAAUGCCUUUAUGGUGCAAUCUGGUAGCGCCUUAAAAGAGUGGCCGACAAAGGACAGCUAUGAAGCCUACACAGCCAUCUCACUCAUGUCCAACGAAAUCGAGGAGCUCCCUGAUGGACUAGUAUGCCCAAAGCUCCAG
rnacentral:lncRNA from 1 species